GAUGAACGCUGGCGGCGUGCCUAAUACAUGCAAGUCGAACGAAGAUCUAGCUUGCUAGAUCUUAGUGGCGAACGGGUGAGUAAUACAUAAAUAAUCUGCCCAUCUGACUGGGAUAACUAUUGGAAACGAUAGCUAAUACCGGAUAGGUUGAUUGGAGGCAUCUCUGAUUAAUUAAAGUAGGAUUUCUACACAAAUGGAUGAGUUUAUGGCGCAUUAGUUAGUUGGUGGGGCAACGGCCUACCAAGACGAUGAGGCGUAGCCGACCUGAGAGGGUGACCGGCCACACUGGGACUGAGACACGGCCCAGACUCCUACGGGAGGCAGCAGUAGGGAAUUUUCGGCAAUGGGCGCAAGCCUGACCGAGCAACGCCGCGUGAGUGAUUAAGGCCUUCGGGUUGUAAAGCUCUGUUGUAAGGGAAGGACAUUCAGGAUAGGAAAUGAUCUUGAACUGACGGUACCUUACCAGAAAGCCACGGCUAACUACGUGCCAGCAGCCGCCGUAAUAC
rnacentral:rRNA from 1 species